GAUGAACGCUGACAGAAUGCUUUACACAUGCAAGUCAACUUGAAUUGGGUUUUUAACUUAGGUUUGGGUGGCGGACGGGUGAGUAACGCGUAAAGAACUUGCCUCACAGCUAGGGACAACGUUUGGAAACGAAUGCUAAUACCUAAUAUUAUGAUAAUAGGGCAUCCUAUAAUUAUGAAAAGCUAUAAGCGCUGUGAGAGAGCUUUGCGUCCCAUUAGCUAGUUGGAGAGGUAACGGCUCACCAAGGCGAUGAUGGGUAGCCGGCCUGAGAGGGUGAUCGGCCACAAGGGGACUGACACACGGCCCUUACUCCUACGGGAGGCAGCAGUGGGGAAUAUUGGACAAUGGACCGAGAGUCUGAUCCAGCAAUUCUGUGUGCACGAUGAAGUUUUUCGGAAUGUAAAGUGCUUUCAGUUGGGAAGAAAAAAAUGACGGUACCAACAGAAGAAGUGACGGCUAAAUACGUGCCAGCAGCCGCGGUAAUACGUAUGUCACGAGCGUUAUCCGGAUUUAUUGGGCGUAAAGCGCGUCUAGGUGGUUAUAUAAGUCUGAUGUGAAAAUGCAGGGCUCAACUCUGUAUUGCGUUGGAAACUGUAUAACUAGAGUACUGGAGAGGUAAGCGGAACUACAAGUGUAGAGGUGAAAUUCGUAGAUAUUUGUAGGAAUGCCGAUGGGGAAGCCAGCUUACUGGACAGAUACUGACGCUGAAGCGCGAAAGCGUGGGUAGCAAACAGG
rnacentral:rRNA from 1 species